rnacentral:rRNA from 1 species
UCGGGGGUACACGAGUGGCGAACGGGUGAGUAACACGUGGGUAAUCUGCCCUGCACUUCGGGAUAAGCCUGGGAAACUGGGUCUAAUACCGGAUAUGAACUCCUUCCGCAUGGUGGGGGUUGGAAAGUUUUUCGGUGCAGGAUGAGCCCGCGGCCUAUCAGCUUGUUGGUGGGGUAAUGGCCUACCAAGGCGACGACGGGUAGCCGGCCUGAGAGGGUGAUCGGCCACACUGGGACUGAGACACGGCCCAGACUCCUACGGGAGGCAGCAGUGGGGAAUAUUGCACAAUGGGCGGAAGCCUGAUGCAGCGACGCCGCGUGGGGGAUGACGGUCUUCGGAUUGUAAACCCCUUUCAGUAGGGACGAAGCGCAAGUGACGGUACCUGCAGAAGAAGCACCGGCUAACUACGUGCCAGCAGCCGCGGUAAUACGUAGGGUGCGAGCGUUGUCCGGAAUUACUGGGCGUAAAGAGCUCGUAGGCGGUUUGUCACGUCGUCUGUGAAAUCCCUCGGCUUAACCGGGGGCGUGCAGGCGAUACGGGCAGACUUGAGUACUACAGGGGAGACUGGAAUUCCUGGUGUAGCGGUGAAAUGCGCAGAUAUCAGGAGGAACACCGGUGGCGAAGGCGGGUCUCUGGGUAGUAACUGACGCUGAGGAGCGAAAGCAUGGGUAGCGAACAGGAUUAGAUACCCUGGUAGUCCAUGCCGUAAACGGUGGGCGCUAGGUGUGGGGUCCUUCCACGGAUUCCGUGCCGUAGCU